rnacentral:rRNA from 1 species
AGGGAAUAGAUACCCGGGUAGUCCUAGCCUUAAACGAUGAAUGCUUGGUGUCUGGGGUUUUAUAGUCCCCGGGUGCCGUCGCUAAACGCUUUAAAGCAUUCCGCCUGGGGAGUACGGUCGCAAGACUAAAACUCAAAGGAAUUGACGGGGACCCGCACAAGCGGUGGAGCAUGUGGUUUAAUUCGACGCAACGCAAAGAACCUUACCUGGGCUAGAAUGCCUCUGACCGGCGUAGAGAUACGCUUUCCUGGGUAAAACCAGGCAGAGUGCAAGGUGCUGCAUGGCUGUCGUCAGCUCGUGUCGUGAGAUGUUGGGUUAAGUCCCGCAACGAGCGCAACCCUUAUCAAUAGUUGCCAGCGGUUCGGCCGGGCACUCUAUUGAGACUGCCGUUGACAAACGGAGGAAGGUGGGGAUGACGUCAAGUCCUCAUGGCCUUUAUGUCCAGGGCUACACACGUGCUACAAUGGCGAGUACAAAGCGCUGCAAACCUGCAAAGGGGUAGCCAAUCGCAAAAAGCUCGUCUCAGUUCGGAUUGGAGUCUGC